rnacentral:misc_RNA from 1 species
GGAUCUUACAUUAUGAGGACAUCUCCAACUCUUUUUUGCUUCAUUUUACAAAGCAAUAUAGGACUUACAACCAAAUUAACAAAUGCAUAUUUUUCAUAAACUAAUCAAUGAUUCAAAUUUUUUUAAUCAGUAAAACAUGUAGUUCAAAAUUUUUCAAUAGUUUGGAGAUCCAUGGUUUUAAUCAAAUUUUGUUCAUUCUGAUUUCAGGAUUAUUCCAUUAGACUAGAAAGAUGUUUAACAUGUCUUAAUUUUGUAAAAACGGACUCGGAGAUCAUAUUAUAUAUAAAAGAAAGAUUGAAUUUUUAUUAACAGUGAUAGGAUUUGCGACUAGAUUUCUGAUGAGUUUAUAUUAAUUUAAAGCUACCUCAAGAUAAAUGUAUUUUGAUGUGCUGUAUUGUAUUUGUUAUUUCAAGAGAUUUUUAAUUUGUAAUUUUUUCCAAAAUGCAAUUCAUGUAUUUACCAUUUAUAUUUAUCAUUGUUAAUCAAUUUCAUCUUUUUUCAAUUCUUGUAUGAUAUAACCUUUUUUUUCUAGUCAAAUAUUAAAAUUUAAAUUAUU